rnacentral:rRNA from 1 species
AGCUUCUAAGCUUCAGAUAACGAGAGACCGUACCCCAAACCGACACAGGUGGUCAGGUAGAGAAUACCAAGGCGCUUGAGAGAACUCUGGUGAAGGAACUAGGCAAAAUAGCACCGUAACUUCGGGAGAAGGUGCGCUGCUGACGGUGAAGGCCUUGCGCCGUAAGCUGUUGGCAGCCGAAGUAACCAGGCCGCUGCGACUGUUUAUUAAAAACACAGCACUCUGCAAACACGAAAGUGGACGUAUAGGGUGUGACGCCUGCCCGGUGCCGGAAGGUUAAUUGAUGGGGUCAGCCGCAAGGCGAAGCUCUUGAUCGAAGCCCCGGUAAACGGCGGCCGUAACAAUAACGGUCCUAAGGUAGCGAAAUUCCUUGUCGGGUAAGUUCCGACCUGCACGAAUGGCGUAACGAUGGCGGCGCUGUCUCCACCAGAGACUCAGUGAAAUCGAAAUCGCGGUGAAGAUGCCGUGUACCCGUGGCUAGACGGAAAGACCCCGUGAACCUUUACUGUAGCUUCACACUGGACUUUGACAUGAUCUGUGUAGGAUAGCUGGGAGGCUUUGAAGUGGUGACGCUAGUUGCCAUGGAGCCGUCCUUGAAAUACCAGCCUGGUCCUGUCGGGGUUCUAACGUCGACCUGUUAUCCAGGUUACGGACAGUGUGUGGUGGGCAGUUUGACUGGGGCGGUCUCCUCCCAAAGAGUAACGGAGGAGCACGAAGGUGCGCUAAUCACGGUCGGAAAUCGUGAGGUUAGUGUAAAGGCACAAGCGCGCUUGACUGCGAGACAGACAAGUCGAGCAGGUACGAAAGUAGGUCUUAGUGAUCCGGUGGUUCUGUAUGGGAGGGCCAUCGCUCAACGGAUAAAAGGUACUCCGGGGAUAACAGGCUGAUACCGCCCAAGAGUUCAUAUCGACGGCGGUGUUUGGCACCUCGAUGUCGGCUCAUCACAUCCUGGGGCUGAAGCCGGUCCCAAGGGUAUGGCUGUUCGCCAUUUAAAGUGGUACGCGAGCUGGGUUUAGAACGUCGUGAGACAGUUCGGUCCCUUUCUGCCAUGGGCGUUGGAGAUUUGAGAAGAGUUGCUCCUAGUACGAGAGGACCGGAGUGAACGAACCUCUGGUGUACCGGUUGUCACGCCAGUGGCAUUGCCGGGUAGCUAAGUUCGGACGGGAUAACCGCUGAAAGCAUCUAAGCGGGAAGCCUCCUUCAAGAUGAGAUCUCCCUGGAGCUUUAAGCUCCCUGAAGGGCCGUCGAAGACUACGACGUUGAUAGGCGAGGUGUGGAAGCGUUGUGAGACGUUGAGCUGACUCGUACUAAUUGCCCGUGCGGCUUGACCGA